UGCAGUCGAACGAUGAAGCCUAGCUUGCUGGGUGGAUUAGUGGCGAACGGGUGAGUAACACGUGAGUAACCUGCCCUUGACUCUGGGAUAAGCGCUGGAAACGGCGUCUAAUACCGGAUAUGACCUGCCCCGGCAUCGGGUGUGGGUGGAAAGUUUUUCGGUCAAGGAUGGACUCGCGGCCUAUCAGCUUGUUGGUGAGGUAAUGGCUCACCAAGGCGACGACGGGUAGCCGGCCUGAGAGGGUGACCGGCCACACUGGGACUGAGACACGGCCCAGACUCCUACGGGAGGCAGCAGUGGGGAAUAUUGCACAAUGGGCGAAAGCCUGAUGCAGCAACGCCGCGUGGGGGAUGACGGCCUUCGGGUUGUAAACCUCUUUUAGUAGGGAAGAAGGGCUUCGGCUUGACGGUACCUGCAGAAAAAGCACCGGCUAACUACGUGCCAGCAGCCGCGGUAAUACGUAGGGUGCAAGCGUUGUCCGGAAUUAUUGGGCGUAAAGAGCUCGUAGGCGGUUUGUCGCGUCUGCUGUGAAAACCCGAGGCUCAACCUCGGGCCUGCAGUGGGUACGGGCAGACUAGAGUGCGGUAGGGGAGAAUGGAAUUCCUGGUGUAGCGGUGGAAUGCGCAGAUAUCAGGAGGAACACCGAUGGCGAAGGCAGUUCUCUGGGCCGUUACUGACGCUGAGGAGCGAAAGCGUGGGGAGCGAACAGGAUUAGAUACCCUGGUAGUCCACGCCGUAAACGUUGGGAACUAGAUGUGGGGGCCUUUCCACGGUCUCCGUGUCGCAGCUAACGCAUUAAGUUCCCCGCCUGGGGAGUACGGCCGCAAGGCUAAAACUCAAAGGAAUUGACGGGGGCCCGCACAAGCGGCGGAGCAUGCGGAUUAAUUCGAUGCAACGCGAAGAACCUUACCAAGGCUUGACAUAUACCGGAAACUUCCAGAGAUGGUUGCCCCGCAAGGUCGGUAUACAGGUGGUGCAUGGUUGUCGUCAGCUCGUGUCGUGAGAUGUUGGGUUAAGUCCCGCAACGAGCGCAACCCUCGUUCUAUGUUGCCAGCACGUUAUGGUGGGAACUCAUAGGAGACUGCCGGGGUCAACUCGGAGGAAGGUGGGGAUGACGUCAAAUCAUCAUGCCCCUUAUGUCUUGGGCUUCACGCAUGCUACAAUGGCCGGUACAAAGGGCUGCGAUACCGUAAGGUGGAGCGAAUCCCAAAAAGCCGGUCUCAGUUCGGAUUGAGGUCUGCAACUCGACCUCAUGAAGUCGGAGUCGCUAGUAAUCGCAGAUCAGCAACGCUGCGGUGAAUACGUUCCCGGGCCUUGUACACACCGCCCGUCAAGUCAUGAAAGUCGGUAACACCCGAAGCCAGUGGCCU
rnacentral:rRNA from 1 species